CACACGACUCUCGGCAACGGAUAUCUCGGCUCUCGCAUCGAUGAAGAACGUAGCGAAAUGCGAUACCUGGUGUGAAUUGCAGAAUCCCGCGAACCAUUGAGUCUUUGAACGCAAGUUGCGCCCGAGGCCACUCGGCCGAGGGCACGCCUGCCUGGGCGUCACGC
rnacentral:rRNA from 2 species